rnacentral:rRNA from 1 species
AUUGAACGCUGGCGGCAUGCUUUACACAUGCAAGUCGAACGGCAGCACAGGGAGCUUGCUCCCGGGUGGCGAGUGGCGCACGGGUGAGUAAUACAUCGGAACGUGUCCUGUUGUGGGGGAUAACUGCUCGAAAGGGUGGCUAAUACCGCAUGAGACCUGAGGGUGAAAGCGGGGGAUCGCAAGACCUCGCGCAAUUGGAGCGGCCGAUGCCCGAUUAGCUAGUUGGUGAGGUAAAGGCUCACCAAGGCGACGAUCGGUAGCUGGUCUGAGAGGACGACCAGCCACACUGGGACUGAGACACGGCCCAGACUCCUACGGGAGGCAGCAGUGGGGAAUUUUGGACAAUGGGGGCAACCCUGAUCCAGCCAUGCCGCGUGCAGGAUG